AAAUGAGGACCUAGGUCUUGUGCAUUACCUCUACCUUGACUAUUUAUUUCAUCAAGUACGUAAACAGUCUUAGAAUUUAGGCAGUGUACAACCUGUAAGACUGUACAUGGCAGUGGAUGGAAAUAAGUGGUUGAUUACAGCCAUGGAAACUUGUCUUAUUCUAAAGUGUAGACCCUUUAAAAAAUAAGUAAACUCAAUUCUGAAUGGAAAAAAAUUGAUUUUUGAGUGCACAUUGUGUGCUAAAUAUUGGAUGCACGGCAUCUCACUUAAUGCUUAAAACAACUCACUGCAGUAGGUAUUAGUGUUAUCUCCAUGCUGUAAAGAAAUAGAAAAAAGUUAGAGAUAUUAAGUAUCUCCCCCAAGUUCAUCCAGCUAGCAAAGGUUAUGAUUCAAUGUUAGGGUCAGUCCAAAGCCAUUUUCUGCUUUGGGAAGCUGAGAUGGGAAGUCUUCAGGGAGGGGAGAAUGAAGUAGAUACUCUAGAAAAGAAGCAGAGUUGAGAGAUGAAGAUGUGAGUCUUCAUUUAACGAGGGGUCAAACCUUGGUUUCCCAAAGACUGUGCCACUCAAACUGUCUAUAAUGAAGAGACAGAUUACUCCCAACUCCAAUUCAGCUCAAACCAAUACUUUUUUGCAAAAUAUGAUAAAAAUAAAAUACUAAUAAACAAAAUUUUAAAAUAGCUGAAAACACAAGGAUUCCAUUUUAAUUAUUAGAAUAAAAUUAUUCUAGAAAAUAGCUAUAAAAGUCUCUAAACACCUUUAAUAUCUCCCCUUCUCUUGUGAAUGGGUAGAAAUUAGUGAUGGAAUAGGUGGAGAUUAGUUAGGGAAUUGACACAGGUUUGAGGACCAUACUUUGAGAAGCACAACCCCAAGUUAUCUGAGCUGUUCUUCACUCCCAGAAAAUCAACUUGCCUUAUUCCAGAGGUCAACACUCAAACUCUACCCUCAACUCCUAAAAAAUCAAAUUCCAGCUAUUAGAACUUCAGCAGUAGGAAACAGUCUGGUGCCUACUAUACAUAGAUAUACAAAUGAAGGACCACUAAAUAGAGAAGGCUGAGCGGGUCCUCUGAGCGUGAUGAUAAAGCUGAAACAUUUUAAAAACAGCCUUAGGGAUGAAAAUCUUCAAAGCAACAUAAACAUAAAUUUAAAAAUGGCUAAACAGAGUCUACAUUUAUAACAUUUGCUUAUUAACUUCCUUUUCUUCCUUCACAGACUUUCAAAAAUCCCUAUGGCUGGAAAAGGCUUGGAGGUUUCUCUCUCCAUUACGAUUCAUGCACCUGCUUCCUCUUCUGCAACCACCCCUAACUUUCCUGCAGAACUACCAUUAGAUAAAUAAAGUUUAUUUUAUUUCAAGAUUUUUAAAGACAGGUGUGUAUGAGGAUGGAGCAGACACAUCCUCAGAAGCCGGAGGGCAUCAUUUUUGUUCAUAAGAGCAAAGAUGCAUCUCAGAGCUGA
rnacentral:lncRNA from 10 species